rnacentral:rRNA from 1 species
ACUGCUCAGUAACACGUGGACAACCUGCCCUUAGGACGGGGAUAAACCCGGGAAACUGGGUAUAAUACCCGAUAGGUCUCGACUGCUGGAAUGCAUCGAGGUCUAAAGCUCCGGCGCCUAAGGAUGGGUCUGCGGCCUAUCAGGUAGUAGUGGGUGUAGUGUACCUACUAGCCUACGACGGGUACGGGUUGUGAGAGCAAGAGCCCGGAGAUGGAUUCUGAGACACGAAUCCAGGCCCUACGGGGUGCAGCAGGCGCGAAAACUUUACAAUGCUGGAAACAGCGAUAAGGGAACCUCGAGUGCCAGGUUACAAAUCUGGCUGUCGUGAUGCCUAAAAAGCAUUGCAUAGCAAGGGCCGGGCAAGACCGGUGCCAGCCGCCGCGGUAACACCGGCGGCUCGAGUGGUAACCGUUAUUAUUGGGUCUAAAGGGUCUGUAGCCGGCCGGAUAAGUCUCUUGAGAAAUCUGGCAGCUUAACUGUCAGGCUUUCAGGAGAUACUGUCUGGCUCGAGGCCGGGAGAGGUGAGAGGUACUUCAGGGGUAGGGGUGAAAUCUUGUAAUCCUUGAAGGACCACCAGUGGCGAAGGCGUCUCACCAGAACGGACCUGACGGCAAGGGACGAAAGCUAGGGGCACGAACCGGAUUAGAUACCCGGGUAGUCCUAGCCGUAAACGAUACUCGCUAGGUGUCGGCCACGGUGCGACCGUUGUCGGUGCCGUAGGGAAGCCGUGAAGCGAGCCACCUGGGAAGUACGGCCGCAAGGCUGAAACUUAAAGGAAUUGGCGGGGGAGCACCACAACGGGUGGAGCUUGCGGUUUAAUUGGAUUCAACGCCGGAAAUCUUACCGGGACCGACAGCAAUAUGAAGGCCAGGCUGAAGACUUUGCCGGAUUAGCUGAGAGGUGGUGCAUGGCCGUCGUCAGUUCGUACUGUGAAGCAUCCUGUUAAGUCAGGCAACGAGCGAGACCCCUACC